GAUGAACGCUGGCGGCGUGCCUAAUACAUGCAAGUCGAGCGAGCGUACGAGGAUCUUUCUUCUCUGAUUUUAUCGCCGGACGGGUGAGUAAACCGUGGAUAACCUACCUAUAAGACUGGGAUAACUCCGGGAAACCGGGGCUAUUACGGGAGAUUUUUUUGAGCCGCAUGGUUCAGAAGUGAAAGACGGUCUUUCUGUCACUUAUAGAUGGAUCCGCGCUGCAUUAGCUAGUUGGUAAGGUAACGGCUUACCAAUGCAACGAUGAAUAGCCGCCCUGCGAGGGUGAUAGGCCACCACGGAACUGAGACGCGGCCGAGACUCCUACGGGAGGCAGCAGCAGGGAAUCUUACGCAAUGGUGGGAAGCAUGACGGUGCAGCGCCGCGUGAGUGAUGAUGGUCUUCUGCUCGUAGAACUCUGUUAUUAGGGAAGAACAUAUGUGUAAGUAACUGUGCACAUCUUACCGUAGCCUAAUCAGAAAGCCACGGCUAACUACGUG
rnacentral:rRNA from 1 species